rnacentral:pre_miRNA from 1 species
UCACCUCCGCAGGCUGGCCGGCCCCCAGGCUGGGCUGGACGAACAUCUCUUCAAGAGACUUACCCUCAAGCACGACUAGGAGC